GUAGGGAAUAUUGGACAAUGGGCGAAAGCCUGAUCCAGCCAUGCCGCGUGAUAGAUGAAGGCCCUCUGGGUUGUAAAUAUCUUUUAUCUGGGAAGAAACUCCUCUAUUCUUAGAGGCCUGACGGUACCAGAGGAAUAAGCACCGGCUAACUCCGUGCCAGCAGCCGCGGUAAUACGGAGGGUGCAAGCGUUAUCCGGAUUCACUGGGUUUAAAGGGUGCGUAGGCGGGUUGAUAAGUCAGUGGUGAAAGCUCCGGGCUUAACUUGGAAACUGCCAUUGAUACUGUCAGUCUUGAAUGUCGUAGAGGUAAGCGGAAUGUUGCAUGUAGCGGUGAAAUGCUUAGAUAUGUUACAGAACACCAAUUGCGAAGGCAGCUUACUAUGCGAUAAUUGACGCUGAGGCACGAAAGCGUGGGGAGCAAACAGGAUUAGAUACCCUGUAGUCC
rnacentral:rRNA from 1 species